AGGCACAACAAAACAAAAUCCCCCCCCGCCCCCAAGUCCCGCCAACAAGGUAGAGUUCACGGGAGAGAAUAUUUUGUUUUCCCCUGAAAUUUGCAACCCAACUUCAGGAAGGUUAUUUUCCGUCCCAAAGACACAGGUGACGACCCUACGCACGCUAGUUCAAUCCCAGCAUCUACUGCCGAGUGGAACCCCAGCAAAGGUGAACUGACCAGGUCUACAGUGUGACAACCUGACAACACAACCAGCGAUCCUUUUUACCAUAAAUAAUAGGAACACACAUCAAGUAAACGUCAGCGGUCUAUGGAUACUAUGACAAACAAACAGUCUCUCUUCCACUCAGUCACUUCAGAUGCUUUUGCUCCAGCUCUGACCAAUCACCUGGAAUUUGAGGACUGAAGAAGAAAGAAAUCUCUGGCAAAAGGAAGCUGUAAAUCAUAUUUCUUUUGGGUACGUAAGUACAUCCUUAUUGAAGGUGACAAAGUCCCUCCCUCCAAGCGAGUGUCAGCAACGAAGUGUGGAAAUGGAGGGGAAAAGAAAGAAAUCAUAAACUCUAUGGUGGGGUACUGCUCAUUUUUUUUUAUCCUACUGCGGUUGAACAGAAUGACCGCCCCAGUCUGAGAUGCGGAUAAUAGUCAGACAUAUCACUGGGCUCAAGUAGCCAUAUUGUUGCAUUUGGGUGGUGAUCUUGACCCAGUGACUUUUCAUUUUACUAAAGAGGACAGACGUUCAAAGACUGGCGGCUGUAAUUAGACCCAGAUUUAUCAAAACGGUCCUCUUGCAGACUACACUAUGCCUGGUUUUCCAUCCUAAUGAGGAAAAACGUGCAAUCACAAGACAAUCUGGCGUGGUGACUCCAACUGGCCAGUCAUACGCGAGUCCAAACUAUUCUAGAAAUCCUGGCUCUGGUGAGACAGUAAGAGCCAAAAACCAAGAGAGGACGCGUACAAAGCUGGGCUGCAGAGAAUCGCAGUCUCACUCACUGUACAAACUCCAAAGCCAGAAACGCCUUAGCGAUCCAAGCCCCGCGAUGCCCCAUCCACACCUACCGCAGCCUUGGCUGAGGGACUACUUCAAAGGCAGGCCCUGCGCAAGCCCACGGCUUUCCCUUCCCUUCCCUCCACUUCUGAAUUUAUAUAACAACUGCCUUCUUUCUUUUAAAAAAUGGAAAAAAAAAAUCCUGUUUUCAUUUCCAAAUGUGGUGAACUCAUUUUGAUGAACAGCGCAUCUGAACAUUCCUCACUCUCCUACAGUUUGUCAAAUAAUUUGCAUCAAGUACUUUUUUCAACAGAUCUCUUGUAACUGCAAUAAAGCACUUUUUUCUUUUUUGGCAGAGCGAAAAGACAGACCCGUUGCCCGAGUUUUCCCCCCCGCCCCAAGGUGCAGCUGGAAAAGCAUCUCGACUCUGCCUUUGUUUGACACAACACAGUGGUCCUGCCUCUCCCCGACAUGGAAGUUCUGCUGGGACCAUCAUGUGAGUCUCUUUUUCCUGGAAAUACCACAAAGCCAUUUCACUGCUACAGUCAGAAUGUGGCGAAAGUGGGGCCCUCUCUAGCUUGGUAUUUUUUCGCAGCUUCUCAAAGAAAGAUUGAGAAGUAAAAAUAAAAUGGGCAAUGUUUCUAAGGAUGUAGUCUUUGGGACGAGCUGGUCACGUACAGGGCAACCUUUUGGGGAUGAUUCGUCCUCCGUGGCUCUUAAUGCGUUCUAGGGCAAAGCCAUUUCCGAUGGGGACUGGAUCAUAAAACCUGGGCUGACAGUGGUGAAAGGCAUCCAAAGGUAAGCACUUUACACUGAUCCCUUGAUUCUCAGACAAAAAAGAUGUAAAUGAAAAAAACCAGCCUGGUCGCCUUUAAAAAAAAAAAUGAUCAAGUGGGCUGCAAAGAGAAACCUAGUGGCUCCUUCACAAUAGAGCCUCUUGGACAUUCUCUGAGCGAGGGAGCAAAGCAACCCACCCGAGCUUCGAAAAAUUUUCACCAACGGCUUAGGUCUAACCUAGUGGUUCUUUUUUGGUCGUUGAUGUCUGUCUAUUUAGGAGAGGGGGCCGGUGGGGGGGGGCGCUUACAAUUUUUAUAAUGGACCUAAUUAUAUAAGUGGUCCUAUGCCCACAGUAUGUGGUUUCAUAUCACACUGGCCCCUCUGCCAAAAAAAAAAAAAAAAGAACGAAGGUCCUUAAGUCAAGGUGCAGAAGUCCCUAAGUCCUGUCCCUCUUGGAAUGUUUGUUAACCGCUCUGAGACGCCCGGGGGAAAGGCAGUCUAUAAAUACGAAGCUUUACGGUUACCCUUAGUUACUUCACUUUUUCAGAGCAUAAUGCAAUCUGUCCCGAGUCCAAUGUUUUAUUUCUGUAGUGGAUUCGGCUGUCCUAUUUUAUAUAUUGUAUAUCACGCGUUAUGUUGCUCUAGUAAUCUUUUGAAGAUGUUGUUCCACUAUUAUUUUUACUUGCCUUGAAAAAUGGCAGUGGGCGGGAAGGGAAGGCCUGCUGGUAGACUCUUUAUUUAAUUUGCACAGCAGAAAGUUGUCCUAGGGGACUGUCUACUGACCCAGGACCCAGACUCCUAGAGGAGAGGAAAAAGAUCCAUUCCUCAAAUCGUGACUUGAGAUGCAUGUAUUCACCUCACUGCAGGAUGCACAUCAAGUGUUCUUGGAAAACGGCAGGAGAGUUUGGGCCUAUCACUGAAAAUAAGAAAGGGUACAGAGGAGGCCAGAAGGAAAUGUUUUAGAGGUGAAACACGAACAGUUCUGUAAAGCGUCCUAAUUGAAAUUAGUCACAGAGUGAAGAGAACCCAGAGGAUCACCGUUGCUGGUGGACUGUUGUUGUGUUGGUUUUGUUUUUCGGCCUUGCCGCCUCAUGAAUGUAAAAUGUGCCUGUGAUCUUAAUACGAUUCCAGAUAGAGCGGCCUUUAAGUUCACACUUUACAAGACUCCAGGGAAAAUAAUAAGUUACUAAUGAACGGUAUUUACAGUGGCGGCAUCUAAGCGUGCUUUCAUUUCCUUUUCGAAAGUUACUGUGUGAACUACAAGUAAUUAAAAGAAACUCA